rnacentral:tRNA from 1 species
GAGGAAAUAUUGAGGGAAGUCAGUCUUAAAAACUGAAGAACAUAAGUUAAAAACUUUUUUUUUUUU